rnacentral:rRNA from 1 species
CUAAGGAGACUGCCGGUGGACAAACCGGAGGAAGGUGGGGAUGACGUCAAGUCAUCAUGGCCCUUACGGCCUGGGCUACACACGUGCUACAAUGGUCGGUACAAAGGGUUGCCAAGCCGCGAGGUGGAGCUAAUCCCAUAAAACCGAUCGUAGUCCGGAUCGCAGUCUGCAACUCGACUGCGUGAAGUCGGAAUCGCUAGUAAUCGUGAAUCAGAAUGUCACGGUGAAUACGUUCCCGGGCCUU